GCCUUCUUAGUUCAGUGGUUAGAAUUUUUCACUAGUAGUGUCUGUGACUCGUCAACAGCCGGCUAAGAUGAAAGGGUCACCCGUUCAAUUCGGGUAGAAGGCA